rnacentral:rRNA from 1 species
UGGGGAAUAUUGGACAAUGGGGGGAACCCUGAUCCAGCCAUGCCGCGUGUGUGAAGAAGGCCUUAUGGUUGUAAAGCACUUUAAGCGAGGAGGAGGGUACUGGUAUUAAUACUACCAGGUACUGGACGUUACUGGCGGAAUAAGCACCGGCUAACUCGGUGCCAGCAGCCGCGGUAAUACGGAGGGGGCGAGCGUUAAUCGGAUUUACUGGGCGUAAAGCGUGCGUAGGCGGCUAAUUGAGUCGGAUGUGAAAUCCCCGAGCUUAACUUGGGAAUUGCAUUCGAUACUGGUUAGCUAGAGUGUGGGAGAGGAUGGUAGAAGUCCAGGUGUAGCGGUGAAAUGCGUAGAGAUCUGGAGGAAUACCGAUGGCGAAGGCAGCCAUCUGGCCUAACACUGACGCUGAGGUACGAAAGCAUGGGGAGCAAACAGG